GACGUAGGGUGCGAGCGUUGUCCGGAAUUAUUGGGCGUAAAGAGCUCGUAGGCGGUCUGUCGCGUCUGCUGUGAAAACCCGAGGCUCAACCUCGGGCCUGCAGUGGGUACGGGCAGACUAGAGUGCGGUAGGGGAGAAUGGAAUUCCUGGUGUAGCGGUGGAAUGCGCAGAUAUCAGGAGGAACACCGAUGGCGAAGGCGGUUCUCUGGGCAUUACCUGACGCUGAGGAGCGAAAGUGUGGGGAGCGAACAGG
rnacentral:rRNA from 1 species